rnacentral:rRNA from 1 species
AUUGAACGCUGGCGGCAGGCCUAACACAUGCAAGUCGAGCGGAUGAAGAGAGCUUGCUCUCUGAUUCAGCGGCGGACGGGUGAGUAAUGCCUAGGAAUCUGCCUGGUAGUGGGGGACAACGUUUCGAAAGGAACGCUAAUACCGCAUACGUCCUACGGGAGAAAGCAGGGGACCUUCGGGCCUUGCGCUAUCAGAUGAGCCUAGGUCGGAUUAGCUAGUUGGUGAGGUAAUGGCUCACCAAGGCGACGAUCCGUAACUGGUCUGAGAGGAUGAUCAGUCACACUGGAACUGAGACACGGUCCAGACUCCUACGGGAGGCAGCAGUGGGGAAGAUUGGACAAUGGGCGAAAGCCUGGUUCAGCCAUGCCGCGUGUGUGAAGAAGGUCUUCGGAUUGUAAAGCACUUUAAGUUGGGAGAAAGGGCAGUAAGUUAAUACCUUGCUGUUUUGACGUUACCGACAGAAUAAGCACCGGCUAACUCUGUGCCAGCCGCCGCCGUAACAC